rnacentral:rRNA from 1 species
AUGUGUUCCAACAAGAAGCGCAGCAGCCCUGGCGUUGCUGUGUGGUGUGUAGUCCUGGGCUUAGCCCUGCUCGUUGUCGUCGAUGCGACGGGCAAGGAAGGUGGUGGGCAAGCCGGGCACUUGGCUGAAGAGCAUGGUGAUGCAGCCUACUGCUCCGCGUUGUGCACUGGGAGGUUGGACUUCGGACCGUGCUACAACCAGUGCUUGUACUGGAGGGUGACAGGACAAGAAGAAGCGAGAGGGGGUGGUGGGGCUGGAGGGCGAGCUGGUCUCCUGGCUGUUGAACUUUCCACUUGCAGUGGUGUUCCGGGAGAAGAGAAGGCGAAGCAAGAGGACUCGGUCGUCCGUCUGACCGACCCAGUCUGGUGCUACGACGCCUGCCGUGAACAUCCGGAAUUGGACUAUACCCAAUGCGUCAAGGAUUGCUACGCUGAGAAUAUGCCAGACGCCGCACUGCUAGCGGCCCAUGGAGGAACUGGAGGUGAAGAAGCAAGAGGAGGAGCGGUUGAUGUCCCAAUGGCGACGGUGCAGCAUGAGGCUGCUGCAGGUGCACUGUCAGGGAGCAACUGCGAUGAGUAUUGCCGCAAACACUAUGAUGAAGGCUCACCCGGAUACAGGCACUGCCAGUAUAUGUGCCCACGUCUGACGGUCCAUGGGGUAGCAGAAGGAGAAGAAUCAAGAGGAGGAGCUGUUGAUGGGCUGACGGCGGUGGGGAAACCACACUGCGAUUGGUUCCGCGACUGUAGUGUAACGCCAUGUGUCUGGCACUGUGGGAAGAGGGUGCAAGCGGAGGACGCACCCUCAGCCUGA